ACGUGAAACCGUUUAGGGGUAAACCUGAGAAGCCCGAAAGGUCGAAGGGAGAAAUUCAUUCGCGUUUCGCAGUCGGCGUGAGACGGUCGUGUGACGGAAGACGUUCGCGUUUUCCGCGCCUUCCGUUUUUCGAUCCGAUAGCGAACGCGUGCACUUUUCUCCUGGUAGGACGUCGCGAUCCGUUGGGUGUCGGUCUACGGCUCGCGGUGGAGCCCGGACGUACGGCUUGCCGUCACGUUCGGACCCGCGUGUCCCGGCUGACUCGCUCGACGGUAUACGAAAGGUUUAAGGCCGCUAUUUUUAGCGUUCGGCUCGUUGCAAGCGCGUCAGAUGUGUCGGCGAUCGGACCUAGUGCCGGUUCUGACCUCUGGCGACUGUUGGCCGCGAAGUUCUCGAACAGACCUUUAGACCGAUCUGCGACGCUAUAGCUUUGGGUACUUUCAGGACCCGUCUUGAAACACGGACCAAGGAGUCUAGCAUGUGCGCGAGUCAUUGGGAAUCACUAAACCUAAAGGCGCAAUGAAAGUAAAGGUCCGCCUUGCGCGGACUGAGGGAAGACGGGCGGUUCACCCUUAAAAGUGGCCGCUCCGCAUUCCCGGGGCGUCUCAUUCUCAUCGCGAGAAGAGGCGCACCAAGAGCGUACACGCUGGGACCCGAAAGAUGGUGAACUAUGCCUGGUCAGGACGAAGUCAGGGGAAACCCUGAUGGAGGUCCGUAGCGAUUCUGACGUGCAAAUCGAUCGUCGGAACUGGGUAUAGGGGCGAAAGACUAAUCGAACCAUCUAG
rnacentral:rRNA from 1 species